UCAGAUUGAACGCUGGCGGUAUGCUUAACACAUGCAAGUCGAACGGUAACAGCAGAGCUUGCUCUGGCUGACGAGUGGCGGACGUGAGUAACGCGUGGGAAUCUACCUAGUAGUGGGGGAUAGCCAGAAGAAAUUCUGAAUAAUACCGCAUACGCCCUACGGGGGAAAGAGGCCCUCUUCUUGAAAGGUCUCACUAUUAGAUGAGCCCGCGUUAGAUUAGCUAGUUGGUGAGGUAAGAGCUCACCAAGGCAACGAUCUAUAGCUGGUCUGAGAGGAUGAUCAGCCACAUUGGGACUGAGACACGGCCCAGACUCCUACGGGAGGCAGCAGUGGGGAAUAUUGGACAAUGGGCGCAAGCCUGAUCCAGCAAUACCGCGUGUGUGAAGAAGGCCCUAGGGUUGUAAAGCACUUUUAUGAGUGAAGAAAAGUUUAAGGCUAAUAACCUUAGGCCGUGACGUUAACGUCAGAAGCAGCACCGGCUAACUCCGUUCCAGCAUCCUCGGGAAUACUGAUGUUGCAAGCGUUAAUCGGAAUUACUUGGCUUAAAGCGCGCGUAGGCGGUUAUUUAAGUUAGAUGUGAAAGCCCCGGGCUCAACCUGGGAACUGCAUUUAAAACUGGCUAACUAGAGUAUGGUAGAGGAGAGUGGAAUUUCAGGUGUAGCGGUGAAAUGCGUAGAUAUCUGAAGGAACACCAGUGGCGAAGGCGGCUCUCUGGACCAAUACUGACGCUGAGGUGCGAAAGCGUGGGUAGCAAACGGGAUUAGAUACCCCGGUAGUCCACGCCGUAAACGAUGUCAACUAACUGUUGGGCGGGUUUACGCUUAGUGGUUUGCAUCUAACGCUUGAAGUUGACCGCCUUGGGAGUACGGCCGCAAGGCUAAAACUCAAAUGAAUUGACGGGGGCCCGCACAAGCGGUGGAGCAUGUGGUUUAAUUCGAUGCAACGCGAAGAACCUUACCAUCCCUUGACAUCAUCAGAACUUGUUAGAGAUAACUCGGUGCCUUCGGGAACUGAAUGACAGGUGCUGCAUGGCUGUCGUCAGCUCGUGUCGUGAGAUGUUGGGUUAAGUCCCGCAACGAGCGCAACCCUUUUCCUUAUUUGCCAGCACGUAAUGGUGGGAACUCUAAGGAGACUGCCGGUGAUAAACCGGAGGAAGGUGGGGAUGACGUGAAGUCAUCAUGGCCCUUAUGGGAUGGGCUACACACGUGCUACAAUGGCCAGUACAAAGGGCAGCCAACUCGCGAGAGUGCGCAAAUCCCAUAUAGCUGGUCGUAGUCCGGAUUGGAGUCUGCAACUCGACUCCAUGAAGUUGGAAUCGCUAGUAAUCGUGAAUCAGAAUGUCACGGUGAAUACGUUCCCGGGCCUU
rnacentral:rRNA from 1 species